rnacentral:rRNA from 1 species
UUGGAGGGCAAGUCUGGUGCCAGCAGCCGCGGUAAUUCCAGCUCCAAUAGCGUAUAUUAAAGUUGUUGCAGUUAAAAAGCUCGUAGUUGAAUUUCGGGAUCAAUAUAUCGGUCGUGCCUUUGGUACGUACUGGUAUCAUUGAUUUCUCCCUUCUGACGAAUCAUGAUGUCAUUAAUUUGGUGUUAUGAGGAGUUAGGACUGUUACUUUGAAAAAAUUAGAGUGUUUAAAGCAGGCAUUAGCUUGAAUACAUUAGCAUGGAAUAAUGAAAUAGGACGUUUGAUCCUAUUUUGUUGGUUUUUAGGAUCGACGUAAUGAUUAAUAGGGAUAGUUGGGGGCAUUAGUAUUCAAUUGUCAGAGGUGAAAUUCUUGGAUUUAUUGAAGACUAACUACUGCGAAAGCAUUUGCCAAGGAUGUUUUCAUUAAUCAAGAACGAAAGUUAGGGGAUCGAAGACGAUCAGAUACCGUCGUAGUCUUAACCAUAAACUAUGCCGACUAGGGAUCGGAUGAUGUUAAUUUUAUAAUGACUCAUUCGGCGCCUUACGGGAAAC